AGCAUAUGACCAACCAGAAUGAUUCUCAGGACUUAACCUGGAAGCUCCUGGCUCUUUUCUUCUGGGUUGAACGUGGAGGAAGAGGCUGGAGGGACCGCAGGGCCCUUGCCACCCAGAGCCCCGGAAGGAGGCAAACACGGCCGAUGACGGCACCACGGCCCGGGAGAAACUGAGCCUCGUAUUGAGUCCAGAAUCUAGUCAUGCCGGAAGCCAGCGCGGCUCUUAGAUGUUUUGUUUGGGGAGCCAACAAAACUCUCUUCUUGCUGAAACAAGCUCGGUUUGCAUCGUCUGUCACUCACUACUGAAGAGAGAGGAGUUCUCACUAACACCCGAGGGGGGCAGAGCGCCAAAGUAUGGAGGCCUCGGUUUCCCCAUUGGAUCUAAUGAGCUUCAGCACCACCGUCUUCCAGCAGCCCCGUCCUGGUUCUCCGGUUCUGGGUGAUUCUUCACUGCCUGUGUUGCUGAGUGUGUGAGUUUGGUGCGGACUGCCCGGUUUCAAACCUCCAUGUCACCACCAGUAGCUGUGACUAUGGGCAAGUGACGUAAGCCCUCUGUGUCUCAGUUUUCUUACCUGUGACAUGGAAAUGAAGACAGUAGACCCUCAUAAAACUGUUGGGAGAUGUGAAGGUGUUAAAAUCUGCAGCGUGAUCAGAAUAGUGGCACAGAGAAAGCGCCUUCCCAGCGGCGACUGUCCUUACUGUUUAUGUCGUAAUUUAUGGUGACGAUGCCUGUCCAGACAUCUCCCUCCUUCUCCGUGGUUGUCACCAUUCCCAGGCGCCUUGCUGUCUUGGUUAGGGCUCCACCUUUUAUUCCUUUUCACAGUCUUUGCUGCUCUGUGUCCCAGCACUAGGGGAUUUCUCUUUCCAAGCUCACAGGUAUCUAACGCUAGAAGUCAACUCAGCAAAUACGUUCAUGGGGUUCCCCUUUGGACAGGAGGUGAGUAAAAGUUUCUGUCCAUCCCACUUCAGUUUAUAAAUCUCUUUAAUGAGUAAGAUUUUUUUUUUGUAAUGUAUAUUAAUUUUUUUUUUUGGCUAUUCAGAAUCCACUGCCCUACCCCUUGGUGACCAGCUCGCUGGGAACCGCUCCCCCACCACCUUACUCUCACCUAAAUGGCUUAACCAGCCUUCCGGGUUCCGUGGAGUGAGAUCAUCGCGGCUUUCCUUUCCCGGCAACUGUGAUUGGCUCAGGGACGGGCAUGUGACACCGUCAGGGCCAAUGAGAUGCAACGAGACUGUUGCAGUGGCUUCUGGGAAUGCUGUACACUUUGUCCCUCUUGCGGCCAUGACAGGAGAGUCUAAAAGUGGACCUGAGAGAGGAGGGAGGAGCUCAGAGAUCAGGAGACACUAGGCAGGAUCUGGUGACGUCAUCUGAACCUCUGGAUCCAACUGUGCCCGAGACUAACGACUCCUUGCCCUUCGUAUAAGGCUCUAGAGGCCACACACCAAACUCCGCAUCCUGCAGCUUGAAGAAAAUGGAAUAAAACUCUUCCGGCGAUGCCAGGGGCUGGGAUUCAUCAUUUACCCAGGACGGUGUGAUGGCACUUUCUCUCCCGACUAGAAUUCAGAAGAGGGAAGGAAGCCUGAGAAACAAACACUGGAUCUUAAAGACAAAGUGACACAUACGUCACUGGCCAGAGUCCGCCACGUGGCCACCCCUGACUUCACCAGGAGGAAGCAGUUCAAUUCUCCCAAACGCCUGACUUCCCCACUUACACGUGACUGUGGCCAAGUCGCUUACUUUUCACUGUUUCUCAGUUUCCUUGUUUGUUUGUAUGAAGGCAGACCCAUGACUUUGUUCGUGGCGUUGUUAAGAAGAUUAAAUGUGACAACGAACAACA